rnacentral:rRNA from 1 species
GACGAACGCUGGCGGCGUGCCUAAUACAUGCAAGUCGAGCGAAGCGGCGGAUGGGUGAGAAACGCGUGGGCAACCUGCCCUUAAGUCUGGGAUACCAUUUGGAAACAGAUGCUCAUACCGGCUACUAAAGGAUGGACCUUCGGUGAAUUAGCUAGUUGGUAAGGUAACGGCUUACCAAGGCGAUGAUGCAUAGCCGAGUUGAGAGACUGAUCGGCCACAUGGGGACUGAGAAACGGCCCAAACUCCUACGGGAGGCAGCAGGAGGGAAUCUUCCACAAUGGACGAAAGUCUGAUAGAGCAACGCCGCGUGAGUGAAGAAGGUUUUCGGAUCGUAAAGCUCUGUUGUUGGUGAAGCGGUAAUCAACCAGAAAGUCACGGCUAACUACGUGCCAGCAGCCGCGGUAAUUC